GACAGAGGGUGCAAACGUUGCUCGGAAUCACUGGGCGUAAAGGGCGUGUAGGCGGGACAGUAAGUCGGGCGUGAAAUCCCUGGGCUCAACCCAGGAACUGCACUCGAAACUACUAUUCUUGAGUGUCGGAGAGGAAAGCGGAAUUCCUGGUGUAGAGGUGAAAUUCGUAGAUAUCAGGAGGAACACCGGUGGCGAAGGCGGCUCACUGGCUCAUUACUGAGCUCAGGGCGCGAUAGCGUGGGGGAUCAAACAGG
rnacentral:rRNA from 1 species